AAAGAACAGGGCGCUAGGGUUGGGGAGCUCGAUCCCCAACCGAGCCGCCGCCGGAUCCUCCGCCCAGCCGCUGCAGGAUCCUCCGCCCAGCCACCAUCGGGAUCGUCGCUGCUGCUCGGCCCUCAUCCUCACGGUGCUCCAUCUCGUCCACUGCCACGAGCUCGCCAUACUCGACGCGAUCGAUCUGCCCGUCCCCGCCGCCACUUGCCGUCGGCAUCGCCGUACCCAUCAUCCUCGUCGUCACGGAUGAGAAUCCCUUCCUCUCCUCCUCAUCUCCAAGCUUGCUUCUACAUCGUCCUCGCUUCCCCACCCAUAUCAUCACUGAAUUGCUCCCCUCCCUAGUCGAUUCCAUCACUGAAUUGCUCCCCUCCCUAGUCGAUUCCAUUGGCUCCAAUUUGAUCACGAAGAUUUGAUAAAACUAGAUCCUCAUGGAAUUAAAGUCCACUUAGUCUGAUUAGUGCUAAAAUAUAUUAUUAUUUUCAGAAGCAUUUGGUCUGUUGGUUACAGCUAUGGACAAGAGGUGGAUGAGAGCACCUAGAUCCACAGAUGAGUACCGGGAAGGAGUUAAAAAGUUCGUAGAAUUUGCUUUUGCCAAAUCAGCAGAACACAAUAGGAUCCUUUGCCCAUGUAGGUUUUGCAGAAAUGCAUAUUGGUUUGAGAAACAAGAAAUAUUGGAUCAUUUGGUUUCUGAUGGGUUCAUGGCUGGCUAUACAUCAUGGAUUCAUCAUGGGGAGGGCCUAUGGUCAUCCGAUCCAGUUGUUGCCUCGAGCUCGCGAUGUGAAGAUGACAAUGCUAGCAGUGAUAAAAUAGAUCAGAUGCUCUUGGAGGCAUUUGGGAUGUAUGACACUCGUGCUCUCUGGGGGAGGAUGAGGAAUUGAAGGAUGAGUUAGAUAUUGAUGCUGAAACUUACUAUAAGCUAGUCAAUGAUGCCAGUAAAGAGCUAUAUCCGGGCUGCAAGUUCUCAAAUCUUCAGUUUCUUGUGAGGCUCCUUAACAUAAAGAAUAUUGGGGGGGUCAGCGAUAAUUGUUUUGAUGAACUUCUUUCAUUAAUUAAGGAUGCCCUUCCAAAUGGUGUAACCUUGCCUAAGAAUUUCCAUGAUGCUAAGAAAUUUGUGAAGGCCAUUGGUGUUUCUUAUGAGUGCAUCGACGCUUGCCCAAAUGAUUGCAUACUGUUUAGGAAACAAUAUGCAGAUGCUACAACGUGUCCUGUGUGUCAUGCGAGUAGGUGGAAGAGUGAGAAAGUUGGGCUUGAUGGAAGACGAGUCCAUAGGGUCCCUCAAAAGGUGGUUCGGCACUUCCCGUUGAAGAGGAGGCUUCAAAGGCUAUUCAUGUCUUCAAGGACAGCACCACUCAUGAGGUGGCACGAGGAAGGCCGUACUAAAGAUGGUUUGCUGCGGCAUCCUGCUGACUCACCUGCUUGGAAACAUUUUGACGCAAUGCACCGAGACUUCAAAUUAAAAAGUCGAAAUAUCAGGCUGGGUCUAGCAACAGAUGGUUUCAACCCCUUUGGAAGAAUGUCUCAUAUAGCAUAUGGCCUAUAUUCUUGAUCCCAUAUAAUCUUCCCCCGUGGAUUUGCAUGAAGCAGUCCAAUUUUAUUCUCUAUGUGCUCAUCCCAGGUAAGAGAUCACCGGGGAAAGACAUGGAUGUCUAUAUGCAACUAACUGUUGAUGAUCUGCUUGAGUGUUGGACAAAAGGUUUCAUAACUUAUUUGUGUAGAAUGCACCUCCGUAUCUUAUCUGCCAAUAAACGCAUAAAGAAACAUGAUAUUGAAUGCAUCCAUCAUAGGGACUUCCACAAUUGGUUUCCAUAUUAUGUAAGUGGCUUUCAUAUGUGGUUUUCAGAUCUAUAGAAGGGCUUAGGAAUUCCUUUUGAUUUCCACUAAUAGCAUUCUGUCUUUAGGUUCAAAAAUUAAUUGAUACAGGUAAGGAGGUUUCACAAGAAAUUAAAAGUCUAGCACAAAAACCUUAUAGGAUGGUGAAGAAAUACAACAGCUAUUCCUUGAAUGGGUGUACUUUCCACACAAGGAGCUUUGCUGAAGGAAAAGUUACACAAUGUGAUGUCGUAGCAAUGAUUGCAAAGACUUCGAGUUUCUCAAGCACAAGAGAUGAUAAUCCAUCUAUAGGAGAUGUUGCAUAUUACGGCCGCAUAACAGAAAUAAUUGAACUUGCUUGAGCCUACACAAAAAUAGCAGCUCAAUCACCUCGCCUGCAAUUUGCACAUAACAACUCUGGUGUUGACAGCAAGAUAAGUAAGAACAUCUUUGGUUGUACUACUCAUCAAUGUUAAGGCUCCGUUGAUUCAUCACCUCUACCGUUGCUGUUAAUCUAUUAUGCAAAAACUUAUGAAUCUGUCACUUAGCUUAGAACAUGAGCAUGACAAAAUGUGAAGAUUCUUUUAUGUCUAAAUAAAUUUGGUUGUACUCUGAGUUGUUGGACAUCCAAGAGUCUUGUUCAGCUGUGGAGUUCAUUAUGCAAUUAAAGACUGAAAUGAUAUUUCUGUUAUGAGUAACAGUAUGUGUGUGAUACUGUGAUGUA